UUCAAUGCGCAUGCUUUAACAUGCAGUCGGACGGCAGCACAGAGAAGCUUGCUUCUUGGGUGGCGAGUGGCGAACGGGUGAGUAACAUAUCGGAACGUACCGAGUAAUGGGGGAUAACUAAUCGAAAGAUUAGCUAAUACCGCAUAUUCUCUGAGGAGGAAAGCAGGGGACCUUCGGGCCUUGCGUUAUUCGAGCGGCCGAUAUCUGAUUAGCUAGUUGGUGGGGUAAAGGCCUACCAAGGCGACGAUCAGUAGCGGGUCUGAGAGGAUGAUCCGCCACACUGGGACUGAGACACGGCCCAGACUCCUACGGGAGGCAGCAGUGGGGAAUUUUGGACAAUGGGCGCAAGCCUGAUCCAGCCAUGCCGCGUGUCUGAAGAAGGCCUUCGGGUUGUAAAGGACUUUUGUCAGGGAAGAAAAGGCUGUUGCUAAUACCGACAGCUGAUGACGGUACCUGAAGAAUAAGCACCGGCUAACUACGUGCCAGCAGCCGCGGUAAUACGUAGGGUGCGAGCGUUAAUCGGAAUUACUGGGCGUAAAGCGAGCGCAGACGGUUACUUAAGCAGGAUGUGAAAUCCCCGGGCUCAACCUGGGAACUGCGUUCUGAACUGGGUGACUAGAGUGUGUCAGAGGGAGGUAGAAUUCCACGUGUAGCAGUGAAAUGCGUAGAGAUGUGGAGGAAUACCGAUGGCGAAGGCAGCCUCCUGGGAUAACACUGACGUUCAUGCUCGAAAGCGUGGGUAGCAAACAGGAUUAGAUACCCUGGUAGUCCACGCCCUAAACGAUGUCAAUUAGCUGUUGGGCAACUUGAUUGCUUAGUAGCGUAGCUACGCGUGAAAUUGACCGCCUGGGGGAGUACGGCCGCAAGAUUAAAACUCAAAGGAAUUGACGGA
rnacentral:rRNA from 1 species